UGCCCCGCAGUCUUCUGUACCAGCACAUUAUCAAGCAAUCGAUGCUGCAUCUCAAGCUCCAGUAUAUGAACACUAAACACAAAAUCCAAGGCGGUCGCCGUUAUAGACUGAAGACGUGACUCUGCAGAACGGCGGAGAGAUGAACGCUGAUAAACAACAAGGUUUCCUUAUAUUCUUCCAGGCUGCACCACAUAACUGGGACACAAAGUUGGUUUUACAAAUCAUGGUGAAUGUAUGGGGGGGGGGGGGGGGGAUAAAUUCUAACUGAUUUGGUUACACUUUUUUUUAUCAUUGACUUGCAUUGUUGAAAUAAACUACUUUGUCACUUGG